rnacentral:rRNA from 1 species
GACGAAGGUGGCGAGCGUUGUUCGGAAUCACUGGGCAUAAAGCGCACGUAGGCGGUGACGUAAGUCGGGUGUGAAAUCCCUCGGCCUAACCGAGGAACUGCGCCCGAUACUGCGUUGCUUGAGGACCAGAGGGGUGCAUGGAAUUUCCGGUGGAGCGGUGAAAUGCGUUGAUAUCGGAAGGAACUCCGGCGGCGAAAGCGGCUCACUGGACCACAACUGACGCUGAUGCGCGAAAGCUAGGGGAGCAAACAGG